rnacentral:rRNA from 1 species
AGGACGAACGCUGGCGGCGUGCUUAACACAUGCAAGUCGAACGGAAAGGCCCGCUUGCGGGUACUCGAGUGGCGAACGGGUGAGUAACACGUGGGCAACCUGCCCUCAGCUUCGGGAUAACACUUGGAAACAGGUGCUAAUACCGGAUAAUAACUUUUCAUCGCAUGGUGGAUGGUUCAAAGUUUUUCGGCUGAGGAUGGGCCCGCGGCCUAUCAGCUUGUUGGUGGGGUAAUAGCCUACCAAGGCGACG